GCCGUCGUAGCACAAUGGUAGUGCGUUGCCUUCCUACCCGCUGUUAUUGUUAGGCAAAGGUUGCGGGUUCGAUCCCCGUCGUCGGUA